rnacentral:piRNA from 1 species
UAACGAAUGCAGUUGUGUGCUCCACUAAA